rnacentral:rRNA from 1 species
GCAAGUCGAGCGAGAAGGGAGCAAUCCCUGUAAAGCGGCGCACGGGUGAGUAACACGUAGGUAAUCUACCUCGAGGUGGUGGAUAACCUUCCGAAAGGAGGGCUAAUACAGCAUGAGACCACGUCUUCGAAAGAGGAUGAGGUAAAAGCGGGCCUCUCUACAGAAGCUCGCGCCACGGGAUGAGCCUGCGGCCCAUCAUGGUAGUUGGUAGGGUAAUGGCCUACCAAGCCGAAGACGGGUAGCUGGUCUGAGAGGAUGAUCAGCCACACUGGAACUGAGACACGGUCCAGACUCCUACGGGAGGCAGCAGUGGGGAAUCUUGCGCAAUGGGCGAAAGCCUGACGCAGCGACGCCGCGUGAGUGAUGAAGGCCUUCGGGUUGUAAAGCUCUGUGGAGGGGGACGAAUAAGGGUCGGCGAACAGCCGGCUCGAUGACGGUACCCCUUUAGCAAGCACCGGCUAACUCUGUGCCAGCAGCCGCGGUAAGACAGAGGGUGCAAACGUUGUUCGGAAUUACUGGGCGUAAAGCGCGUGUAGGCUGCUCGGGAAGUCGGGUGUGAAAGCCCUGGGCUCAACCUAGGAAGUGCACUCGAAACUUCCGAGCUGGAGUGCUGGAGA